UACGGGGGGGGCAAGCGUUGUUCGGAAUUACUGGGCGUAAAGGGCGCGUAGGCGGCCUGCUAAGUCGAACGUGAAAUCCCUGGGCUCAACCCAGGAACUGCGUCCGAUACUGGUUGGCUUGAAUCCGGGAGAGGGACGUGGAAUUCCAGGUGUAGCGGUGAAAUGCGUAGAUAUCUGGAGGAACACCGGUGGCGAAGGCGACUCUUUGGUCUGUAACUGACGCUGAGGCGCGAAAGCGUGGGGAGCAAACAGG
rnacentral:rRNA from 1 species